rnacentral:rRNA from 1 species
GGGGAUAACUACUGGAAACGGUAGCUAAUACCGCAUAACGUCGUAAGACCAAAGAGGGGGACCUUCGGGCCUCUUGCCAUCGGAUGUGCCCAGAUGGGAUUAGCUUGUUGGUGGGGUAACGGCUCACCAAGGCGACGAUCCCUAGCUGGUCUGAGAGGAUGACAGCCACACUGGAACUGAGACACGGUCCAGACUCCUACGGGAGGCAGCGGUGGGGAAUAUUGCACAAUGGGCGCAAGCCUGAUGCAGCCAUGCCGCGUGUAUGAAGAAGGCCUUCGGGUUGUAAAGUACUUUCAGCGGGGAGGAAGGGAGUAAAGUUAAUACCUUUGCUCAUUGACGUUACCCGCAGAAGAAGCACCGGCUAACUCCGUGCCAGCAGCCGCGGUAAUACGGAGGGUGCAAGCGUUAAUCGGAAUUACUGGGCGUAAAGCGCACGCAGGCGGUUUGUUAAGUCAGAUGUGAAAUCCCCGGGCUCAACCUGGGAACUGCAUCUGAUACUGGCAAGCUUGAGUCUCGUAGAGGGGGGUAGAAUUCCAGGUGUAGCGGUGAGAUGCGUAGAGAUCUGGAGGAAUACCGGUGGCGAAGGCGGCCCCCUGGACGAAGACUGACGCUCAGGUGCGAAAGCGUGGGGAGCAAACAGGAUUAGAUACCCU